rnacentral:lncRNA from 1 species
UGAGUUUUUUUAUUCUCUUGCUUUUCAACACAUAUUGGCUACGCAUGUAGAUUUUUGUAGAUAUUUAUUUUUGCUAAGAUUAUGUGGAUUGGUAAAUAUUCUAAUUUUGUUUGUUUAUCUGUUCCAGGAUGUAAAACCAGGAUUAUGUGUAGUGAUUUCAGGGCAGUGGAGUUGUGGACAUAUCCAUGUGGAUACCUGUUUAUGACUAGUCGUGGAUGAUUCAUGGUUUAUUGCAGGCGAAUCAUAGUUGGUGUCCUGAUAAAACAUGAAAACUAAUGAAGCAAAUACAUGUAGAUAGAAAAGGGGACCAAGAACCCUGUGGACUAUGUCCAUGUGGAUACACAUAUUCACAAUCCAAAGCCGCCAAAGAUGAGGUAUCACUUAUCAGUCUUGGAUGGAUAAUGGUUUAGUGGAGGCGAAGACACCUAAACGGCGGCUGCACAAACUGAUGGAUAUAGGUGGAAGAAGCUUAGAGAUGGACACAAUAACAGUAACCUCACCAACAACCAGAGACAAUAAUUGCGACAGAGAGAGAAGCGAUGAUCUAAUGGGUGUAGGAAGCUUUAAGGGCAUAGACAAAAAAGGUACUCACCACCACCACGCCCAGAUAUUUAUUGUUGUGUGGAGAGAGGGUUACGACGAGAAACCGGCG